rnacentral:rRNA from 1 species
GAUGAACGCUAGCUACAGGCUUAACACAUGCAAGUCGAGGGACCGGCGCACGGGUGAGUAACACGUAUCCAACCUGCCCUUUACUCGGGGAUAGCCUUUCGAAAGAAAGAUUAAUACCCGAUGUAAAGGAUGGGGAUGCGUUCCAUUAGGUUGUUGGUGAGGUAACGGCUCACCAAGCCAUCGAUGGAUAGGGGUUCUGAGAGGAAGGUCCCCCACAUGUGAACUGAGGCACGAUCCAAACUCCUACGGGAGGCAGCGGUGAGGAAUAUUAGUCAAUGGGCGUUAGCCUGAACCAGCCAAGUAGCGUGAAGGAUGAAUGCUUUUGGGUCGUAAACUUCUUUUAUAUAAGAAUAUGUAUUAUAUGAAUAAGGAUCGGCUAACUCCGUGCCAGCCGCCGCGGUAAUAC